CGCAUUAAGCGCCCCGCCUGGGGAGUACGGCCGCAAGGCUAAAACUCAAAGGAAUUGACGGGGGCCCGCACAAGCGGCGGAGCAUGCGGAUUAAUUCGAUGCAACGCGAAGAACCUUACCAAGGCUUGACAUAUACCGGAAACUCCCAGAGAUGGGGGCCCCGCAAGGUCGGUAUACAGGUGGUGCAUGGUUGUCGUCAGCUCGUGUCGUGAGAUGUUGGGUUAAGUCCCGCAACGAGCGCAACCCUCGUUCUAUGUUGCCAGCACGUGAUGGUGGGGACUCAUAGGAGACUGCCGGGGUCAACUCGGAGGAAGGUGGGGAUGACGUCAAAUCAUCAUGCCCCUUACGUCUUGGGCUUCACGCAUGCUACAAUGGCCGGUACAGAGGGCUGCGAAACCGUGAGGUGGAGCGAAUCCCUUAAAGCUGGUCUCAGUUCGGAUUGGGGUCUGCAACUCGACCCCAUGAAGUCGGAGUCGCUAGUAAUCGCAGAUCAGCAACGCUGCGGUGAAUACGUUCCCGGGCCUUGUACACACCGCCCGUCAAGUCACGAAAGUCGGUAACACCCGAAGCCGGUGAACCCCGGGGGAGCCGUCGAAGG
rnacentral:rRNA from 1 species